rnacentral:misc_RNA from 1 species
GCUGAACCUUAAAUCCUUAGUCCUCUAUAUUCAUCGGUUCAGUAACUAGCUCGGGUCUAAAAACAAUGCUUUUGUCACACAUGCUAUUGAUAUCACUUACAUUAUUUUUUUCAUUUUUACUUUUUCACUCAUUCUUCACUAUUUUUCUCCCCUUUCUCUCUUUCAAAUGACAAUUCUUACACAUAACAACAUUAUUAAAAUGUCAUAUCAAUAUUAUUACUGUAGUUUACUUGUCCUUAUCCAUGUUCAUUCACACAACUCAUUGACUAGAUGAAUUUGCAUUUAAUAUAUACAAAAAUAGAAGUUGAG